rnacentral:rRNA from 1 species
GCAAGCGUUAAUCGGAAUUACUGGGCGUAAAGGGUGCGUAGGCGGUUAGUUAAGUCUGUUGUGAAAUCCCCGGGCUCAACCUGGGAAUUGCAUUUGAGACUGCACGGCUAGAGUGUGUCAGAGGGGGGUAGAAUUCCACGUGUAGCAGUGAAAUGCGUAGAGAUGUGGAGGAAUACCGAUGGCGAAGGCAGCCCCCUGGGAUAACACUGACGCUCAUGCACGAAAGCGUGGGGAGCAAACAGG